GGUAUUGUGGCUUACUGGUAGAGUGCUUGCUUAUCAUGCAUGAAGCCCUGGGUUCAACCUCAGUACCA
rnacentral:tRNA from 1 species